rnacentral:lncRNA from 1 species
GUUCCACCCAAUGCCUCCCAGCUAUUGCUUAAAGAUAUAAAAAUAAAUCAGACCCUGAGACUUAUCAGAGGGAACCUGAACAUUGCUUGAGAAGGUUCUUUUCUCAUCACCGGCCCAGGACAUCUCCCCUUCCUACCCUACAUCGACAUCGACUGCAGCUGGUCUGCGGCACCUGACUACAGGGGUCUCCGGCAAUAGCGGAAGGUCCUGUUCACCACUGAAGAACGAGAGAGGAUCCAGAAUGAGGCCAGGAAAUUGGUUCCUGGUGACAAUGGUCAACCCACCACCAAUGCUGACACUAUCAACACUUCUUUUCCUCUGUCCCGACCCAACUGGGACUUCAACACAGCGGAAGCCUUCCGCUAGCACCCAAAAGCCAACACAUCUUUACAUUUGAAUGGAGGACCCAGAACAAGGCCUCAACGGACAGCUGACA